rnacentral:rRNA from 1 species
AAUGAACGCUGGCGGCAGGCCUAACACAUGCAAGUCGAACGGGUGCCUUCGGGUGCUAGUGGCGGACGGGUGAGUAACGCGUGGGAACAUACCCUUUGGUACGGAAUAGCCUCGGGAAACUGAGAGUAAUACCGUAUGUGCCCUUCGGGGGAAAGAUUUAUCGCCAAAGGAUUGGCCCGCGUUGGAUUAGGUAGUUGGUGGGGUAAUGGCCUACCAAGCCGACGAUCCAUAGCUGGUUUGAGAGGAUGAUCAGCCACACUGGGACUGAGACACGGCCCAGACUCCUACGGGAGGCAGCAGUGGGGAAUCUUAGACAAUGGGGGAAACCCUGAUCUAGCCAUGCCGCGUGAUCGAUGAAGGCCUUAGGGUUGUAAAGAUCUUUCAGAUGGGAAGAUAAUGA